AAGGAUUUGUAGAGUAUACAAAUCCUUGAUUAUAACAAAGGCAUAUAAUACUCAGUGUACCACUUCUGAACUUUUUUGUAAUUAUUUUCUAUACUUAAAUCCCCAUUCUUGAUUCCAGACCGGGUAAAGAACUAACUCUCAUAUAUACGUAAAUGAUCGUAAAUGUACGAAAGCUUGACACGUCGAAUACGAAAACCCGGAAAUAUUUUCUCCGUUGCCGUUUUUUAUACUAUGACGCAAAAUCCAUGGACGCUCGUCUGCUGCUGAAUUCAUGUUUUACAGUUUAACAAGGAUUUGUAUAGUGUCACUGUACAAAUCCUUGAGUAUAAAGAAUGGAAAGAUAUAUUAUAGUCAGAUAGAUAAUACAAAGAACUCUGGUUUUUCAAAACCGAUUGGUCAAAAAGUUAUUAGUAUGAACAGAUAAAUUGAAAUGGGUUGCUUGUCGAUUAACUGAUUAACUGGAAGAAACCGGGGAACGAAAGAAAGUUGUGUUUCUCUUAACGGAUUACGUACCCAAUAUUUUGUACUUGGAAAGCGCAACGAAAGUCUGACGAUGUUGGAGCCUAUAACUACAGAAGGAACACCUAAGCGCUUGACAUCUUUUGCGAGUUGUACAAUCUCUGAUGCUGUGUGUGAUGCAGAUAAUUUAUCACAGAUGUCAUUCUCUCCAAUCUGUAUGAAAACAAGCAGACUUUGAACGUGGCCUGUGGAAUGCUCUACACAGUCUGUUUCCAGGAGUCCCCGUCCAAGGUUGUGCAUUUCACUGGAGUCAAGCCAUCUUCCGUAAAAUCCAAAAGACAGGCUUGGUAGUUUCAUACAAUUCCAAGGGCAACACUUUUAAAUUUUUACCUGACUCAAAAUCAUGCAUGAUGAUGCUGUUUGGGCCCCCUGGUUGUACAUAGGAAGUGGACUCCUCGAGAAGAUGAAAGGUCUGCUUUACAUCAUUUUCAAUGAAAGUACAAGUACUUUGAGAAGUAGGAGAAGCUAAGCAACAGAACAGAAUUCAUUUGGGUCAUUGAUGUCUAGAUUAUAUAGUGGAUUCAUAGAUUGUCAUAUUGAUUUAUGUGCAUAUGAGCACAGAGGAGCAGUAGUCAAUGAAUAAUUUUGUGAUGAGAGCUUGUUACCAAAUGAAAGGAAAGUACAGUAUUGACAAUGAUUGAUAUCACUGGUGAACAUGUAUGUCAUGUAGGUGUGAAUGUCCUGCAAAAAAGAACUGAUAUCAAAUUACCAUUCACAGUGAACAUGGUGAAGAAUAACCAAUACCAUGAAUACAGGACAUAGAAGACUACCUCACAAAUAUGGGAAUUUUACAAAAAAUACAACAUUUAAAUUUACAAAGAAGACAUUUAUUUUGACAUUCAUGGACUUUUAAAGUAAAGAAAUUAGAAUGUGAAUAAAAAUCCUUGGAAAUAAAAUUUUGAACUUUGAAGAAGAUUAAAGAUUAUGUUUGUUCUAAGAAAGUUUUAAGAAAACAGAUACAUUCAAAACUGUAAAAAGGAAACAAUACAAUAUUCACAAUUACUCUUGAGAUCAAUUACUCUUGAUAUAUAAUUAAAAGAUCAUAUAAAAGUAAGGAAAUUUGGUUGAAUUGCCAAUGAGAAAAAUAUCCACCAGAGUUCAAAUGAUGUGAUAGUGAGCAAUUAUAGGUCACCAUAUGUCCUCCAACAAUGAAAAAAACCGAACUAUAUAGUGUGCUAUGAAAAGGUUUGGAUAUGACAAAUAGAGAAAACUAAGAGCCUUAUUUUAACAAGUUAAUAUAUGAAAGCAAAAUAUGAACCAAAGACAAGCACUGAAAUACUUAUGAUUAUUGUUGAUUUACUCUUGAAUAUUCAUGUUGAAUGUUAAAAAAGAUUUUAAAUCAGAGUUAUCAUCAAUAUUCAACUUGUUAAACAACAAGUCACUGUUUGACAGAAAGUUCUAUGCCAAAAACCUUGUAUGUAUUGCAUCAGAAACAAAUUUUAGAUAGAACACUAGGAGAC